GACAGAGGGUGCAAACGUUGUUCGGAAUUACUGGGCGUAAAGCGCGUGUAGGCGGCCAUCUAAGUCGGGCGUGAAAUCCCACGGCUCAACCGUGGAAGUGCACUCGAAACUGGAUGGCUAGAGUCCUGGAGAGGAAGGUGGAAUGCUUGGUGUAGAGGUGAAAUUCGUAGAUAUCAAGCGGAACACCGGUGGCGAAGGCGGCCUUCUGGACAGUGACGUGACGCUGAGACGGCGAAAAGCGUGGGGAGCAAACAGG
rnacentral:rRNA from 1 species